GCCGCGCACCACGUAGCAGGCGGCGGCCUUGCGGAUCUUCCGCUUGGCGUUGCCCUCCGUGCCCGGCGCGUACGGCUCCCGCUCGUUCGUCAGGUACCGCAGGAUGGCCAGGCAAGAACAUUCCUCAAAUACCAGCUCCAUCUUCCCUGCUACCUGAACCACUCAGUGAAGACUGGGGGAACUGUCUACGACACGAAACAUUUUAUGGCAGAAGAUCCUUUUCAGUCUGCAAAAUCCAGACAUGGUCAUUUUACAGAUUCGUUCCCUUCAGUGUAUCUCACACAGCUGAGCAGACCAUGGCACAAGUAAUGGAAUUCCAUCAGAUUUAUUCAGCAUGACCAACAGUUUGGCAUGUUAGCGCUUUCCACCAACACGGGGAGCAGAAACCUUGACUGGUUUCACAAUCUUCUGCUUAGGUGCUGCCUUCGUAGGGGCCUGUAGAGAAAUAAUGAAGUAUGAAUGAAAAGAAGCUAUUUAUCUGCAGUCCUAAAAGUGUCUUUGUAUGCACUCUUCACAGAAAUCAGAUCCGACUAGAACUGCAAUCUGUAAUAUCUGGAUCAUGGUAACAGAUGUUUACACACGUAAUGCUAAGCCAACAUAUGGUAUUAAUUAAUAAAUGAUAAUGAAACACA